rnacentral:rRNA from 1 species
AAAGGGCAUCACAGGCCCUGAUUUUGCCCCAAAAGUCCAUCGGCCUGACCCAAUAGUCCCUCUUAAGAAGCCCGGCGACCAGCCAAAGCUAGCCUGGCUAUUUAGCAGGUUAAGGUCUCGUUCGCUAUCGCAAUUAAGCAGACAAAUCACUGCACCAACUAAGAACGGCCAUGCACCACCACCUGAAAAAUCAAGAAAGAGCUCUCAAUCUGUCAAUCCUUAUUUCAUCUGGACCUGGUGAGUUUCCCCGUGUUGAGUCAAAUUAACCGGCAGGCUCCACGCCUGGUGGUGCCCUUCCGUCAAUUUCUUUAAGUUUCAGCCUUGCGACCAUACUCCCCCCAGAACCCAAAAACUUUGAUUUCUCGUAAGGUGCCGAGCGAGUCAGAAAAAGAACAUCGCCCGAUCCCUAGUCGGCAUAGUUUACGGUUAAGACUACGGGGGUAUCUGAUCGUCUUCGUCCCCUAAAUUCGUCUCUGAUUAAGGAAA